UAUAAAGUUUAACUCCCAUUUUAAUUAAGAAGUCAAGUGGGCAAGUGGGUAGAAAAGCACUCAAGUGUUUUGUGAUAUUUUGAAGAGUUGUGUGAGCCAUUCUAACCCCCAAAUCCGACCACUCUCCCUCUCUCAUUCACUCUCAUAUGAUUUUUUAAGACCAUUCAAAGUGUUCUCUCAAUAUUCAACCUCAAGAACACCAAGGAAAACUUGGAGGCUAAGUCUUGGUCUAGGAAGUAUUUUCCCUAAGGUAAACCUUCACUAAUCUAGGCUUUUGUAAAGUUUUAAGCUUAGAGUUUCAAAUAGCUAAUUAACUAUGUUGUUGGGGGAAGUUGGUUAGGGUUUUUGAAAAGUUUUGGAGGAGCCAAAGCUAAUAGGAAGGUCCAAACCUUAAGCAAGAACACCAAAGAGGUCAGUGCAAGGGCAAGGCAGAGCAGUGAGCGCUGGAGUCUUCCUUGCAAAUGUACAUGUGGACCGACCUUUUGGGAAGCCUUUUUAUUUUUGGAAAUGUUGUGUAAUUUUCCUAAACUAGGCUCACUCUAAUCUUUAUAAAACAUGUUUGUAAUUAAAUGUUAAGUAUGGCCAUACGACUUUUUAAAAAAAAAAAAAAAAAAAAAUAUUCUAUGGGUU